rnacentral:rRNA from 1 species
GACGAACGCUGGCGGCGUGCUUAACACAUGCAAGUCGAACGGAAAGGCCCUGCUUUUGUGGGGUGCUCGAGUGGCGAACGGGUGAGUAACACGUGAGUAACCUGCCCUUGACUUUGGGAUAACUUCAGGAAACUGGGGCUAAUACCGGAUAGGAGCUCCUGCGGCAUGGUGGGGGUUGGAAAGUUUCGGCGGUUGGGGAUGGACUCGCGGCUUAUCAGCUUGUUGGUGGGGUAGUGGCUUACCAAGGCUUUGACGGGUAGCCGACCUGAGAGGGUGACCGGCCACAUUGGGACUGAGAUACGGCCCAGACUCCUACGGGAGGCAGCAGUGGGGAAUAUUGCGCAAUGGGCGGAAGCCUGAUGCAGCAACGCCGCGUGCGGGAUGACGGCCUUCGGGUUGUAAACCGCUUUCGCCUGUGACGAAGCGUGAGUGACGGUAAUGGGUAAAGAAGCACCGGCUAACUACGUG